UACAAAACAUAAUAAGCACACAGUAAUA
rnacentral:sRNA from 1 species